UGCUUAACAAUAUAAAUCACUAUUGAAUUCCAAACAUUAAUAACUAAACCAUGGAAACUACUUCAGUAACUCAACAUUAACAAACACACUAUAAAUUCUACAAUUAACACCAAAUUCAUAAGAAACUCAUAGGAGAACAAACAGUCACAGAAGUAAUUUUGCAUUUAUCGCCACUAUUAACAAGUAAAAUAAGAGAAGGGAGAGAUGUUGAACCUCAAUAUAAAUAAAAACAAGCAAUUACACAGAUCUUGACCCCAAAAUUUGAGCGAGGAAAUAACGACAAAAAUCUGACAGGAAACCGCAGACAAUGACUCGGAACCACGAACCACGACCUUGAAUAAGAACUCGAAUGCAAGAUUUGCCUCCCAAAAUUCGGAUCUCUUAAUCAAAAACUCAACACAGCUCCAUUUCAAAUCAGAAAAAUGAAGGCUUGAAAUCAGAUUCCGAUCAAACCCAAUCCAUCACCAUCCGCAAAUACUCGUGGUCGUUUGUACGGAUCUCAGAGACCUUUCACUGACUUUUUCUUUUUUUGCCUUUUUUAACACCGUUUUCUGAAAGAUUUCAAACAGUAAAUUUUCUUGUUGCAUGCAGUGACUAUAGUCCACCACCGAUGAGCAUGAAAUAAGGAAACUCUCAACGAUCGAGACAGAUCUAGGAUCCUAAAGUUGAUGGUUCGACCUAAGAUAUUUGGUACUAAACUGAUGGUGGGCGGCUAUUUUUAGAGCUGUUUCGUUGUGGCUUCAGGUGGUGUUUGACGGAGUUGCAACGGCGAUGGAGGUGAAGGAGGAAGUCUGUUUCGUGGUUGUUCCGGCGAGCUGAGUUGAGGAUGAUGAAGAAGAUUGCUGGUUGGUGUGAGGUCGUGAGAUAAAGAAGUAGCAGCGGCUACUUGUUAUGGUGUCUUGGCGUGAAAGAGAUGGAGGAGAGGCAGUGGUGUGGGGGUGCUGUGUAUGGAAGACGAUCAGCGACUCUAAGGUUCCUGGAAAUGGUUUCCUGUUCACAGGGGUGUUCGAACGGUUUUGUGAAGAUGAAGGAGAGAAAGUCUGAUGAGUGUUCUUUGGUUGAAGAAGAAAGUCACGGCUGGGGCUAGUUGAUUAGCUAGGAUUUUCUUUUGAAGAAGAUGAAGGUUGGGGUUCCAGCUGAAAACGGCUGCCAUCUCUCUUAGGUCUUAGGAUUUUUUUGUCUAGGUCUAGGUUUUAGGGUUAUUUUUAUGUUAGGAGAGUAUGGGCUUAGAAAUUAUGGGUUUGAAAAUUAUGGGCUAGAUCCGAAUUGGGUCAAAUUUUGGCCAAAUUUACCUUUAAAAAGUUGCCCUUUAACUCCACUAGACUAAAAGUAUUAAUUCCUAAAAUAAUAACUACAAAAUUAUGAAAUCAUUCCUAAUUAAUUAAAGUAAAAUUAAGAAUUAAAAGUGAAACUAUUUUUGUAUUUUUUAAAAUUUUAUGGAAGGUAUAUAAACUAAAAGUAACUAGAUAAAAUAUCAAUUAGCUAAAUUAAAGAAAAUACUUUUGUAAUUUUUAUUUUUGUGACAAAAUAAAGUAAAAGAGUGAAAAAUUAGUAAGUAGCGAUAUUAGACCUAAACUAAAUAUUUAACACUAAAAUGUGUAAAAUCUUAGGGAGGGUCAAAAAUUAUAUGUCUAUAACUUUCCCUCUUUGACUGGAAACACGAAGUAUUUUCCGACAAAGAACGAUGAGACAGGUUUUUUGAUCCGACCCUUAUUUAGAGAGACCAAAAACUAAAAGAAAGGAGAAUGUGACCGAGCCCUGGUGUCUGAGCUGCCUACAUAUCAUUAACUAUAAAGGAAUCAGGCCACGUGUAGUUCAAAAGUAGGAACAGUGAUGGAGUAAACCGAGGUGCAGAGCCGAUUAAGGUGUCGUUCCGUUGAGGUUCCGUUCCACGGUCCUGUUAUUACAUCGAAAAUCAAGAUUAAAAAAACUAACUAAGCCUAUCAGCUAAGAGUUACAAGAUUCCUAUCUAUGAGUCUUCUAAAGCUUGAUCUUGAGUCUUGGUUUGUUCUUCAUGCAGACUCUGAUCUGAAUUUGAUGCUUGUUAGCUGCAGGUGUUAGUUCAUUCUUCCACGGCUUCUUCGGAUCAAGACCGUACAUGCAGUGCUCGUGACUUCAGCCAUGUCUUGAGCAGCUCACAUCUUUCAUCUGCUUCUGCAUUUGUAUUCACUUCCCUCUUUUUUUCUUUUCUUUCUUUUUCUUGGAUUGAGACUUCUUCUUUGGUUAUCUCAAACCCUCGUGCCUCGAGGUAAAAACCAUAUUCUUCAGGCAACUCAUGCUACCUCCGAUUUAAAACUUGAAAUGAAUUCUGAAAUGACUUCCCCCAUUCUCCGGGUGGGUGCCUGCUACUGACUGGAAACUUGAAAUAAAUUCCCCCAUUCUCCGGGUGGGCGCCUGCUACUCACAUAAAACUUAAAAUGACUCUGAAUUGAAUUCUGAAAUGACUUCCCUCAUUCUCCAGGCGGGGUGCCUGCAACUUAAAAUUUGAAAUAAAUUCCCUUGUUCUCCAGGUGGGCGCCUGAUGCUGACUUAAAAUUUGAAAUAAAUUCCAUUUUUCUCCAGGUGGACGCCUGUAACUUAAACUUGAAAUGAAUUCCCUUAUUCUCCAGGUGGGCGCCUGCAACUUAAACUAGAUGUAUCAAACGGGCUAGGUUGACCCGGGAUCGGCCGUCCCAGACCGAUUGAAAACCAGACCGGUCCGGCCCGGUACUUAAGGGGCCGGGUGGGCUGGGUUACUGGGGUUAGGGGGUUGGUCCGUUCACUUUAAUUUAUCCGAUUAACCGGACCGGUCAAACCCGAUCAACCAAAAUCCCUAUAGAAUCGGUUAACCAGCCCGGCGCAGCCCGAACCGGUUUAAAGGCUAGAUUUCAAUUUUUUUUUUAAUUUUUUAAGGUUUUAGAGUCUAAGGCAAUGCAAAACCUUUGAAUUUACUUUUUUUUCGUUAAUUUACUUGUUGUUAAAUGUAAACCUUUAAAUUUGUAAGUUGGAAUUUUGAAAUAAAUGUUGCACUUGCCAUUUAUAAGUGCAAUUGUUUUCCAUUUUCAUUGUAUUCUUUAUAUUUUUACUCUAUAUUAAUAUAAAUUACAAUAGUUAUACAAAAUAAAAAAAAAACACUAACCCGGCCCGGCUCGGCCCCUUGGACCCGUAACCUUACGAUUCAUUUUUUUACACGGAUGAACCCGAACCCGUUAAGCCCGGGAACCCCUAACCCGUAACUGGCCCGGUUUGAAACUCGGACGGUUUUAACUUUUCCGUACCCAGCCCGGCCCACCGUUUAGACAUCCUUAACUUAAACUUGAAAUGAAUUACCUUGUUCUCCAGGUGGGCGCCUAAUGCUGACUUAAAAUUUGAAAUAAAUUCUCUUGUUCUCCAGGUGGGCGCUUGAUGCCGACUUAAAAUUUGAAAUAAAUUCCCUUGUUCUCCAGGUGGGCGCCAACAACUUAAACUUGAAAUGAAUUCCCUUGUUCUCCAGGUGAGCGCCUGAUGCUGACUUAAAAUUUGAAAUAAAUUCCCUUGUUCUCCAGGUGGGCACAUGCAACUGACUUAAAACUCGAAUGAAUUCCCUUGUUCUCAAGGUGGGCGCCUGCAACUGACUUAAAAUUUGAAAUAAAUUCCCUUGUUCUCCAGGUGGGCGCUUACCAUUACAACAAAACAGACAAAACAAAAGAAACUUUUCUUCCCUAGUUUGGUACCGGGAACAUCUGUGAGUGUUAAUGAAAUCAUGUUAUCCAAAAAAACUCUAAGAAUUUAAAAGCUAAAUCUCAUUAUCCAGGAGGGCCUUGAAAACUAAAAUUAAAUCUAAUCUUAAGAGUGAAAACUUGAAAGCUAAAUUCUAUUCCUAAAGGUAGAACUUACGCUAAAUCUCAUUAUCUAUGAGAGUCCUAAAAACUUAAAACUAAAUCCCAUUAUCCAGGAAGGUCAUGACAACUUAAAACUACAUCCCAUUAUCCAGGAGGGUCCUGAACUUAAGGAAAUCUAAAACUCUUCUGAUUGUGAAGAAUGUUUAGGAGGUACGAUUCUUCUCGACUAAGGAAAAUGUGCAGGAGGUAAAAACCUUCUUAACUAGGGGAAUGCCUAGCAAUUAAAACCUCCUCAAACAGCCUUUCUGCAGACAAAAUUAGGCACGACACUUGAAAAAUUCAAGCUUCCAAGCUUUGAUUUGGACAUAGUCUUCAUCCCUGUUUCAAACAAAGAAAACUUGUGAUUCAAACACGGUAGUUGGUUUGUGGCCUUGACUUUGAGGGAGAUUGCUCCUUCACUUCUCAUGAUAACUUUAAUUUCAACUCGAAAGACCUUGCUUAUUUAUUGAAUAACCACUUUCUCUGUCACCCUUAUCACAGAAAAUACCUCUGAUCUGUUCAAACCCAACAUCCUCUAUCUGUUGCAUUGUGCUCAUGAAUUGACAUAUACCGAACCUUUGUAUUUCACAUGAAUCCCAAAACAUGUCAAUUGCCACCCACUCAGUGCGCAUACUGUGCUUUCCUAACUUAUGCCGCUUUGAUGUGCUAGCCAGAUUCCGUUUUGUGCAAUUGGAAGGCAGGUAACAAAUUUUGAAGUUAUUUCUCACUUGUUCUAGCCAAAUAGACUCAAGAAAAGGGAGUAAACAAAACAAAGGGAACAAAGUAAGAGACAAUGGAAAGAGAUGAUAUCUAACAAGAAAAUUACAAAGUAGAAACUUAUCAGAUGUGGAUACCAACUCUAAUGACCAUGACAUGCAUUUUUAGAUUAAGUGGCCUAAUCUGUCAAGCAAGUCUAAUGUUUAACUCUUGUUUUACCUCUGAGUCAUGAAACUGAGCUUCAAUGCUCCGAUUAUCCUAUCUGAUUCACAGUCCUUAUUCGACUUGUAGUGCCCGAAGGAUUUUUACCAUCAAGCCUCUCUCAUUUCUUCUUUCUCUCAAUUCACCGUCGCCUUAUGGUUCCUGUGAAGGUUUUCAUCAAUAAGACUCUCUCAUUUUGUUCUUUUUAUUUUUACUUCCUCCGAUUUUGUAGAUGACAAGGCAUUGACCAUAGUAAAAACAUCAUAUGCUCCUGGCAUGUCUAGCUCGGCACUCUCAAAGAUUACCUAGGAGGUCUUUUUGGACUGUAAUGUGGCUUUUGGACAGGGUUAGAAAGUAAGGAUAUCACAAAGGCUCAAAAUAACUAAAACAACGGGGUUGAUUUAUUUACAACUUUUGGAAUCCAUUCUAAAAACUUUACCCAAUUUCUAAAACAAGGGAAUUUGAAUCUUUUUUUCUUUUUCUUUUUGAGAUGAAAUUUCUAAGAAAGACUGCCCCACUCUCAACUUCGUGGGAUUAUGAAAUAUUUUAUUUGGUGCGACCGAACCUUAAGGUUGCCUACGUAUCUUGUGGCGACAAGAAUUAGGUCGAACGUAAUUCAACGAAAUACUUUUUGUUACUAUUUUUCUUUCUUUUUUCUUUUUCUUUUUUUUCCUUUAUCUCUAUUUUUCUUUUUUUUUUCUUUUUUUUUGAAUUUCCCUUAUGGAAUGAACUCUCUAAAACAAACCUAUGGGUAAAUGAACCUUUUUUUCUUUUUCGUAUGACUCUAACUUGAUUCCAAAAGAGGAGAGAUAAAGAAAUCAGCACAGGCUCAAAGGGUAUCCAAGGAUAUAAAGUGUUUGGGUAGCUGAAAGAGGGACUCUCAAUCCCUAAAAAUGCCAAGUACAACACAUGCAACUUGAGGAUGAAAAUUGAAGAUCAUGCACAAUAUUUCUUUUGCGACUUCGGCAAUGGUAUCACUGAUAUGCCUUCCAUUUUUCUUUAGCGCCUUGUUAAGUAUAAAAAUCUCGUUGGGUGAUUCCUUCUUCACAAUGGAUAUCCUCCCUCAAUUCGGAGCAAACUCUCUUGACUUUAUCUUGUAAAUUGAGGUGCACUUGAACUCAAAACUGCUUGCUUCAAAUUGUUUGGGAUUCACUCUCCUUUAACGAAUUCUUGUCAUCUUAUCAACUUCCCAAAUUAUCUGCCUCAGUUUCACACAUUUCGGGCUUUAAAUGAUCUCACAAUGUCUAAAUAUGUACUUAUUUCCCUCAAACGUCCCUAUCAUCUUCAAAAUUGUUUCAUUGCUUUGUAAUUAGACUAAUGUUUAAGAAUAAGCCUUCAAUUAUGCGUGCAUGUCAUGUCACUAGAGCCAGCAUUAAAAAAACUAUUAAAGAAAAAGCAAACUAAACAAAAAUUGACUAAAAAUAACAGAAAUAGGAAAUUGCAUUAGACAGACGGUGAAAGGGUUUGAACAACAAAACAAGCAAAAUAAGCUAGGGUUACAACCCUGGAACAAACCUAGAUAACACUAAACGAGUUACUACGACUAAACGAACUAGGAAAAAUAAAAGGAUAGAAGGGUUUGAAUCACAAGACAAUAUCCGGAUUACAACCCUGAAAUUACCCGGAAAACAGAAAUGAAAACAAAAUAAACCACCAAAACUUCUCUCUAACUAACCAAGAAAAGAGUGUCUUUCCAAUUACUAAGCUCGACAUGUUAGCCACUGAGUCGCACAUCGAUGUUACUAGAACCUUUGCAAGUCUCCAUCAUGUUGUCCUUAGCAAAUAGCUUUUGGGUACCUUUUGCCAACUCACUCUUAAGAUCAACUUCCGGAACCGAGACUGAUACUGCUGAAAGCUUUGCGGAAAGUGCCCCCCCAAGGGACUCAGAAGAGUUCUCGUAUUCCAUUUCAACACAAACCAUACCCACCAUGUGCGUCUCAUUAAGAACAUGCAGUGGACUUUGGCUAGUGUCUAAUGCAUCUGGAUUUUGCACGACAAUGUCACUUGCGUCAACAAGCUUCUGGACUGCUCUUUUCAGAUUCCAACACUUUUCGAUGAUGUGCCUCAGGGGAUUUGAGCAAUAUGCACACCUCUGAGAAUAAUCAAAAUUCUCUGGAAGGGGGUUCAGCAUUUUUAUCUGAAUCGGCUUUAACAUGCCCAAUUGCCUCAAUCUUUGGAACAAACUGGCACAUGAUUCUCCAAUAGGAGUGAAAGACUUUUCUCUUUGUUGCUGCCUUUUCAUUUUGUACUAUGGCCUGGACUGAAACCUCUUGCAGGCAGGUGGUUGAUAUGCUUAUAGAGGUGGGUAAGACAUUUUUGGAGACGGUGCAAGCCACUGCGGGUCUUGUGGAUGUGGAGUAUAUAGCGGUGCAUUGUGGAUAAAGUACUGGGAAAGUGAGGUAUGACUUUGGUGAUUUUGUGGAGAGAAGUAGCAUUGGGGAGAAUUAUCUGGAGUAUGAUGAUAUUUAUGGGGAUGAUAUUGGGGCUGAAAGUGUUGAUCAGGAAAACCCACUGGAUCUUGUCGUCGGCGGGGUUCAACGACAUCUUUUCUAUUUCUCUUUCUUCCCCCCAAAUUUACUGAGAUGUUCUGAAUGUUUUCUAUAGUAUAUUUCAAUGCAGAAUAACUCAUGAUUUUUCCUAUCUUGAUUCCUUCUUCUACUAUCUCCCCCAUCUUUACCACAUCAUUGAAAGGUUUACCCAAAGCCGGGAUCAAAUGACUGAAGCAGAUGGCCCCUUAGGCUUGUAGAAAAAUCUCACCCAUUUCUUCUUCACCAAUCGGGGAACUGACUCGAGCAGCUUGUUCCCUCCAUCUAAGUCCAAACUCCCUAAAACUUUCCUCGGAUUUUUUUUCCAACUUAGAUAAGGAGGAUCGGUCUGGGAUAAUGUCUAGAUUGUACUGAUCAAACAAAAUCUUGAGCCAUUUCAUCCCAUGCAUGCCACUUAUUGACAUUUUGACGAGUAUAUCAUUCCAAGGCUGCCCCACUCAAGCUCUCACUAAAAUAUGCGAUCAACAAUUCAUCUUUCCCGCCAACACUUCUCAUUUCACUGCAAUAAACCCUCAGAUAGGCUACUAGGUCUCCAUGCCCAUCAUACAUGUUAAACUUUGGUAUUUUAAAUCAUGCGGCCAAGUGAACGUCAUGGAACAUACACAGAUCCUUGAAGGCAAUACUCUUCUGACAUGCCAACGCUUGCAUGUUUCAUAAAGACUGCUCUAAGAUUUUCACCUUCCUGGAUAUCUCAUCUUGCUCCACUGUCUUAGUAGAAUUUUCAGUUUCACCGGGAGGCUCAAAAUGAGGAGCGUGAGAGUAUGGAUCCGAGACCUUGAAAGUUGGUUCUGGAGCAUAAUGUUGGGCAUCAGGGAUGUCGAACACAGUCUCGCUAGAGGAUCGAGGAAAGGUAGCUGGUGGAUGAUCUACAAAAAUAUGAGUGGUCAAAGGAGCGAGAUAUGAGGUGGUUUUGGUGAGUGGAGUGUGAAAAGUUUGUGGAGAGAUGUCAGCAGCAGUGGGAAUCUGGAUUUGUGACAGUGGCGGAAUAGUGACAAGGCUUUCAGGGUAGUUAGUGGAAAAUAAUGGUGGAGGACGCCCACUAAUCUAGGCUUGGUAUUUUUCAGCCAUCUGUCCUUUCAACCUUAAGACCUCUUCUUUCAACUUAGAUUCUUACUCAACAAUCUCCUUAGACGGAUCAAUAACACCCGUGUCCAAGUCUUUGCUAGCCAUGACUACCUUGAUCUUUGACCUUGUGUUGUAUGGAUGAGUUACUUAAGAGCCACAAACCAACCACCCUUCUCAAUGAAGAUAACAAAAGGAACAAAAUGGGGUCAUCUUGUCAGCGUUAGAGCAUUUAACAGCUAAAAAUAUCACAUUGCGUGCAAUGCACCUAGAAACAAUUAAUGGUUCUAGAAUGACUUCGAGGGUCACAAGGUCACUUGGCAUCAUCCCAAUUUUGUUCAUUUCAAUCUUCUCUUUUCUUUCUUUUCUAGCACUUCUUGGCUUGCUUAUUUUCCUUCCUCUUUUUUUUCUUCUUCUAAUUAUCACUCUUUUCUUUCCUCUUAUUUCUCGCAUCCCAUAAUUUCACCUCUCUUUUUUCUUUUAAUUUUAUUUUUAAAAAUAAUUCGAUCGAACCUUAUGUAGAUUGCAUACGUAUCAUGUUCCACAUGAAUCAUACCAAGCGUAGUUCUAGAAAAGUAAUUUAUAAAUUAAACUAAAAAAAUAAAAAACUUUUUGGAUUAUUCAUUACAACAACCUUUUUUUUCAUUUUCAAAUACAAAACAGGAAAUAUGAUAACGAGAGACUCAACUCAACUAUACUACGACAAACUCUGACACUAACUAUAAGAAUUAUUACUACUGGACAUGACUAUAAGGUACAAAACAACAUAAAAAGAAACAGACUCAAAACAUAAAAAAUCUCCUUAAGCAACUCCUGGAUGCAGCAGUCCUGACCAGAUUGUCCUGGGGUAUCUGUCAUGCUCAAACUCCGGUAAGUAAAUCCACACCUGUAUAAGAAAACUCAAACCAAAUAGAGUUAAAGACCUAGAACACUAUGUGAGACAAUAACACUUCCUGUUGGACACAUGCAAGACAUGAUUGAAGCUAUUUUUGCAAAAUAGCUUAUGUGGCCAAAAUGUGGUUGGAAGUGCAAACUCAACAAAAAUGACCUCUAAGACAUGGAAAAAUUACUUUGCCGAAAUGACCCAUGUGGCAAAAAAUGGCUAAGCAUGCAAAUUCAACAUAAUGGACCUUAAACAGAGAGGACACCUUGUUGUGGACUUAGGACUCUAAGACAUGGGUUAAUUGAACCACUUUUGCGAAAAUAACCUAUUUUGCAAAAUGGCCUAUGUGUCCAAAAGCGGCUAGACAUGAAAUUUUGACAAGGACGGACCUUUAAAGUAAAGAGACACCUAAUUGUGGAUUCAAGACUCUUCAGACAAUUAAACAAACUACUUUGCAAAAAUAGCCAUAUUUUACAAAAUGACCGAUGUGGCCAAAAGUGGCUAGACAUGCAAGAUGUGGCUACGACCUUCGAAGCCAAGAACCUAAGACUUACUAGGAAGACCGGACCCUAUGUGGGUUGCCUACGUAUUAUGCCCCGAAAGAUGAGAAUCAGGUAUGCGUAGUUCGGAAAGAUUGGAUACAAGCGAGAAUUAAACAAUAACAAAUAAUUUAGAGAAAAUAUAUUUUUUGUCUUUUUUUUUGAAAAAUGAUGAAACAUGUAAACUCUUUUUGAUUUUCUUUUUCUCUUUUUUUAUUCUUUUUUUGGAAAAUAAUGGGAAAGUGCAAAAUCUUUUUGGAUUUUUCAUGUUUUUUUUUCUUUUUCUUGAAAAAAACAAAUUGUGAAAGAAACAUAUAACUGGGCCCUACUUGCUUUAUUUUUAUACUUCAACCUCUUUUCUUUCUCAUUUACCCUCAAACCUCAUUGGUCCGCCAAAUGACCCCUUUUACCCUUGAAGAUUGCAAUAUGUAACACAUAGGAUGCAUCAGGAUGGUCUUUUAUUUUUGGGUACACCUGUCCUACACGGACCCAACCCAUGUGUUGAGUCCCCAAAGUCAAAUGCACGUGAUGCAAACAAACUUUCCUACUAGGGAUCCGACAUGAGGCUAUGUUAUUAUAGUUUUAAAACCUAGGUGUAUUGUUCUAGACCUGACUUACCCGAGCGGACAACUCAAGCCGGGAGAGAGGGCGGCGUACCGGUAACCAAAAGAUCAUCCGACCUUGCAACUUGUUCGAGCCUCGUUCUAAAUUGGGAUAUGACACUAACAGAAAAGAACUCAUGCCAGCAUGCACUUCCCAGAAGAUUAGAAGAGAAGGGUUUCACAGCAAUUUAUAUGUAGUUCAAAUUAUAUCAAAGCGGUAAAAAGCGAUAUUUAGCACAUUAGGCCCAAGCAUGUAAUAAAAAUGAGAUAAUAACUAAAAGCCAAAUAUAACAAUUAUUCUAAGCUCGAAUUCUUGAACCCUGAACCAGAGAUUCUGGGUUCUUAGUCCCCAGCAGAGUCGCCAGAGCUGUCACACCUCAUUUUUCUACCCCGAAAAAGUAUAGGGGAGUUUUUCCAAUUAAAGUAACAAUAACCAAAACAUGAUUAUUUAUGUUAAAAUUCAGAGUCGCCACUUGGGAUAAUUUAUGGUGUCCCAAGUCACCGAUUUAAAAUUCCGAAUCGAGGAAAAUUUUGACUCUGUUUCACAGUCCGCGAAACACAGAAAUCCGGAUAAAAUUUUUUUUAAACUCGAGAGAAGGUGUUAGGCAUUCCCGGGUUCCAUGGUUUAGCACGGUCGCUCAACUAUUAUUAAUUGGCCUAAUUAUCUGAUUAACGACAUGUUUUAUUCCUAUUGUGCAUUUUUAAACUUAUAACCGCUUUUAUUGUUUAUAGCACAAAUCAUGAUGGCCGCACACAUUACAAACCGCGUCACAUGAAAUGCACCCGCAAUUUACAACAUGUUUAUUUUAUUAUUAUUAGAAGUUAUGGUCGGGUCACAUGAAAUGCACACCUGAAUUAGGGAUUGGGUAUCACGAUCAUGCCACGGGAACCGUACCCAUAGUCGUGAUGAUUUAAUAUUAAUCGUGCCUAAAGCAAGCUACGAUCUUUAUGAAUACUACUGGCCUAAGCAUGCUCCUAAUAGUCAAAACAAAAUAAAUAAGGCAGUAAACAUGUAAUCCUAAUCUCUCUUUCACUGAACUAAGCCCAGACCAUUAUUUGCUUCUUUUAAUCCACUUCCUUAACUCAAGUUCCAAAAUCGAUUUAUCAGAAAUAGCAUUUUGUAUUUCUUUGCCUAAUCUUUGCUUAACAAUAUAAAUCACUAUUGAAUUCCAAACAUUAAUAAUUAAACAAUGGAACUACUUUAAUAACUCAACAUUAACAAACACACUAUAAAUUCUACAAUUAACACCAAAUUCAUAAGAAACUCAUAGGAGAACAAACAGUCACAGAAGCAAUUUUACAUUUAUCGCCACUAUUAACAAGUAAAAUAAGAGAAGGGAGAGAUAUUGAACCUCAAUAGCAAUAAAAAUCAGCAAUUACACAGAUCUUGACCCCAAAAUUUGAGCGAGGAAAUAACGACAAAAAUCUGACAGGAAACCGCGGACAACGACUCGGAACCACGACCUUGAAUAAGAACUCGAAUGCAAGAUUUGCCUCCCAAAAUUUGGAUCUCUUAAUCAAAAACUCAACACAGCUCCAUUUCAAAUCAGAAAAACGAAGGCUUGAAACCAGAUUCCUAUCAAACCCAAUCCAUCGCCAACCGCAAAUACUCGUGGUCGUUUAUACAGAUCUAAGAGACCUUUCACUGACUUUUUCUUUUUUCUGCCUUUUU
rnacentral:lncRNA from 1 species